rnacentral:tRNA from 1 species
GGGGGAUUAGUUCAGUGGCAGAACACCGGUCUCCAAAACCGGAUACGGGGGUUCAAUUCCCUCAUCCCCUG